rnacentral:misc_RNA from 1 species
UGGCAACCUUGCACAUUUAGUGAAAUCCAAUUUAAUUGCAGCUAAAAUUCGUUCGCUUUAUUUUCUGCUGCAAAUAUUGUAAAUAGUUAUUCCGCAAUUCUGUGUAUAUAAACAAUAAUAAUGUGCAACUUUAAUAAAUAGUAAAUAAUACCAAAUAUAAUAGAUUUUAUGCAGCAAUAGCUUACCCGUACGUGUAAGUCAGGAAAAUCGAACAACUUUCUUUUUCCAUAGUGUGUGUGUGUGUGCGUGCGAGUGCGAGUGCUUGUGUGUGUAUGUGUAUUGCUGCCAUGCAAAUGCGAAAAAGCGCAGCGUAAAUCACAAAACUACGCAAAAACAAAAGUUAAUUAAAAUAGAAAAUUCGCGUUAAUUAUACGGCUAGCGGCCAGGUGGACACGCCCAUCGUUGGCAAACGCCCACGCGAUUAACUCACACACACACACACACAACCAGCUGCCGUCGUUGUUGCCACCGCAGUAAACAACAAGAAUAAAAAUUGAAAAAUGAAGAAAAUCCUGUCGAAAUUCGACAGAAAUGAGAAAUUGGAAAACUCGCACAACAGCUCUUCAUCCAAGGAGACAAACAGUUUCGUUGGCAAGGUUUUCACAGUCGGACGCGUCACGGUCACCGUGGAGGAUGUCUUGGCCGAAGGUGGUUUUGCCAUGGUUUUUCUGGCGCGUGGCAAUGGCGGAGGCAGUGCAUCAGCCAAUAAAUACGCACUGAAACGUAUGUACGUCAACAAUGAGCACGAUCUGAACGUGGCCAAGCGUGAGAUACAAAUUGCCAGCAAUUUGAGCGGUCACAAGAACAUCAUCGGCUAUGUGGACUCGAGCAUUACGCCAACCGGGAACGGAGUGUGCGAGGUGCUGCUCCUAAUGCCAUAUUGCAAGCAUCACAUGCUGGCCAUGAUGAAUGCUAGAUUACACGUUGGCUUCACCGAACCGGAAGUGCUGACCAUCUUCUGUGAUAUUGCCGAGGCGGUCUCCCGUUUGCAUUACUGCCAAACGCCCAUUAUACAUCGGGAUCUGAAGGUGGAGAAUAUCCUGCAAACGGACGGUGGCAAUUUUGUGUUGUGUGACUUUGGUUCGGCGACAGCCAAGACGCUGAAUCCCCAGCAGCAUGGUGUCACCGUGGUCGAGGAGGAGAUACAGAAGUAUACAACGCUAUCGUAUCGUGCGCCCGAAAUGAUUGAUUUGUACAGUGGGAAGAGCAUUACGACCAAGGCGGACAUCUGGGCACUGGGCUGUAUGCUCUACAAGCUCUGCUUCUUUGCCCUGCCCUUUGGCGAGAGCACGCUGGCCAUACAGAACGGACAGUUCGCCAUACCGGACAACUCGAAAUACUCGCGCGGCGUACAUCAGCUGAUCAAAUAUAUGCUGGACACGGACAUGGAAAGGCGUCCCAAUAUUUGGCAGGUGUGCGAAGUCGCCUUCCGGCUGGCGGGCAAAGACAAUCCCGUGCAGAAUUUGCAUAAAUCCGCCUUGCCCAACUUUGAUCAGCUGCUGGUGCCACCGUUUGAGUCCGAGGCAAAACGCAUUAGUGCAGCCGCCGCCAAAGCAGCCAAGCCGCAGCAGAACGUGUCCCUGGUGGAGGCAGGCACCAGUGUUGCGCCACGUUCCCGGCCCAAAGGCUCCACCACGGUGCAUGGCCAGAAUGCGCUGGGUCUCGGUCUGCCGCCCAGUCCGUUGCCACGUCAGAGCAUCACAUCGCCACAGCCACAGCCCGUGGUCGAGCAGUUUCAGGCGAAUUUUCCCGCUAUGCCGGCGGUAGUCGCUGCCCCGCCAGUUGUCGCCUCCGUUGCCUCAGCAGCAAGUGUGCCGGCAACAGCAGCUGCGGUGACCAGCGCGACGGCGCCAGCAGCUGUCAACAGCCUGUUCGAGUCGAGCGUGUAUCCGGAUCCGUUUAAUGAGGCAGCCACAACAGUUGCUGCAACUGAAGCAACAGCAGCAGCUGCUGCCAGCGAGGCGGUCAGCGAAUUGCCGGACACAUCGGUCAAUGAAUUGGCCUUGCCGGCCGCCGUGGGCACGCCCACCAAGCACAUGCUGACACCGCCCAAAUCGAGCGGCGGCGGCGGAGGCGGCCAUCGGCGCAACGUCAGCGACACCUCGGCCUUUAACAAAACCUUUGCCAAUGAGACCAGCCAGUUCCUGGCGCCGUUUAACAACAAUAUCGCCAUGUCGGGCGACGGGCCACAGAAUGUGACGUUGGCCAGCGCUGCCUCCAAUCCGGGCAUUUAUGCGAGCAGCAGCACAACAGCAACAUCGCUGUCCAGCAACGAGCUGGCUCGCCAGACCAUGGACAAGCGCGUCGAGGCAUGGAAUCCGUUCGAGGAGGAGCAGCCCUUCAGUCAGAUGACCGAGGAUAAUAUAUUCGAGGCCGAGUUCGACAAAAUACGCCAGCGCGGUAGCCAAGGGAGCAUAACGGCCAAGUCGGCAUCCACCACGUCCACACUGACGCCCACGGAGCAGAAUGUUGCGGUUCCGGCGGCGGUAGCCAGCGCAACGGUUGCCUUGACCGCUCCGGCUCCGGCUACGGUUGCGGCUGUGGCAGCAGCGCCCGCGGCUGUGUCGCCAAAUCCGCCGGCGGCAUUGGCUGAGGAUCCAUUCGGCUCGGCGCCGUUCAGUUUGCCGCCGGGUCUGCGCGAGAAGGCGAGCUCGUUGCGCAAAACUGGAGCCAAAUUCAUUGUGAGCUGCUCCUCGGGCGGUGGCACGCCCAGCAUCACGGCGAGCACCGGCAAUGCUAUGAUCUCGUCCAGCUCGUCCAAGUGGCUGCUGUCGCCCACACUGGAGGAGGAUAAAACCUCGCUGUUGAGCCGCCUGAAAACGGAUUCCGAUGGCAUCGGCCUGCGCGAGAGCGAUGGCUGCGUCGGUGGCGGAGCUGUCUCUACGUCGGGCUUUGUCAAGCUGCCGCUGGAGGAUCGCAACAAGUAUGAGAAGCUGCGCAGCAACGAUCAGCCCACAUCCGAUGACUCCGACUCGGAGUUCUUUCAGCAGGAUAGCGACGAUGGCGGCGGUGGUGGUGGUGGAGUUGGUGGCAGCGCCAAGAAGGCAGCCAUAUUCAAGCAGAUCGUGACGAGCAACAUACCGGAGACUAUACACAAGAUCCAGCAGGUGGCCUACCAGAAGGUGGACAAGACAACGCACUUGCCGAUUGUGAAGAAACUACGUCAAACGGCGACCACAAAGCGACCCUCAUCGUCGGCACAGCAGGCGGCACAGCAGCUAAAUCUGAUGGCCGCCGCGGUGGCUGCCCAGGCUGCGCAGGCGGAGGCGGCGGCAGCUGCCCAGGCGGCGGCCAGUGUGGAAUCGGACGAUGAUGAUGCCGAUUCCAUUGGCUCGGCCAGCGAUUUGCGUGCCGAGGAUGAUGAUCUAUUUGAUGAGAAUCCCCGCCAUGCGACACAAGCCAAGCCACGACGUGCUCUGCCCCUGGACAUGGACGGCAUCAGCGAGAGCGUCAAGACGUGCAGCAGCUCGGCCUACCAUGCCGAGUGCGAGAGCGUCACCACGCACGAGGACGAUGUGCGCAGCCGUGUUGUGGUCAAGGUGCGCCUGCGCAAAAAGGAUCGUUUCGCAGCGGUGGCCGCGGCAACAGAAGCCAGCACCGGCUGUGCGCCCGUCAACGAGGAGCUGAGUCCCACGUCCAGCGAUUUGCUGCACAAAUUCGGUGAUCGGCCGCUGCUGCUGGACGAUGAGCUGGACUAUGGUUCCGCGGAGAGCAAGAGCAGCACUGAAUCCGCGCCAGCUGCGGCGCCCGUUGUUGAGCCCGCUGAGGAUGAGCUAGAUGUGUUUGCCAUGGCACCGUUCAAGCUGCCCGUGGGCAAGCCGCCCAAGCGUGUGGCCAAGCCAAAGCUGGCGCGCCACCGGCCCAGCGAGCCGGAAAUGUGGACCUCCACGCCGGUGAAGGGUGCACAGGGCGAGACGCCCGCCAGCCAGGCGGCCAAUUUUGCCAACUUUCCAGCGCAGCAGGAGCAGCUGCAGCCGGCACAGCAGCAGCAGCAGUUGGAUGAGUUCAAUGAGCCCAUCUUUAAUCCGUUUAUAGAGACGCCAGCAAAGGAGCAACAGCAGCAGCAUUUGGAGGAGCAGCGCGAUCUCUUUGGCUCGGAGCCAUUUCCGCAGGUAAUACGCAAAUGUGUUGUUGUCACGCCCGACUAUCCCAGCCACAACCACAACAACAACAACAACAACAACAAUGUGAUCAAAGUGAAUGCUCCUGUUCCUGCUCCCGUUGUGACCAUCAAUCAUUCGAUUAUAAUCAAUAAAACGCCCGAACCGCUGACCAAUCACAAUCCCAACUGCUCCACCAGCACCACCAGCAGCAGCAGCAGCUCCUGCACCACCACAACCACGACAUCCUCUACCACCGCCGCCGCCAACAGCAGCAGCAGCAGCAUCAGCGUCUAUGUGAAUGUGCCCGCCACGAGCAGCUUGUGCUGCAGCAUUCCCUUGCCCGCAAUCAGCACACAAAUCCCGCCGGCACCGACACCACCGCCAGCAGCACACUUGCAGCCACUGCUGGCCAUUGCCGAUAAUGGUUUUGUCCAAAUCUCUCAAGAACGCUGCUCGGACUUCACGCCCGACGACGAGGAGGAGCCCGUGGUGUUGCGCGCUGCCGACUUGGUGGCAGACGGCGAGGCGGCAUCCGGCAUUAAGCCGAAAAAGGAGAAGUCCCAUUUGGCUGUGAGAGCAUUGCCGGCCAAGCUAACCCAAAAGGUCAAAGGACAUGCCUAUAAAAAAGUCAGCGCUGGCGCGCUGGGCUCCACAUCAUCCCUUAGCUCCGGCAGCAAGCAAAAACACCAGCGCCUCCAAUAUCAAUCGCACGACGACGAUGACGAUGACGAUGUCAAGGUCGCCCAGGAUGAGAACAGUCGUGGCAGCAACACUCGCAAUUCGCAAUUCCAGUCCAAUACCAUACAGAACUCGGCCAAGACGGGCUUCAGCAACAUGAGCUUUGAGGAUUUCCCAUCGGAUCAGGAAAUCGAUCGCAUGUCCAAAACGAUUCCAUUCGAGGUUGUGCGCAAGGAGAAAAUGCUGCUCGAGGCGGAAAAGAAAUUUGGUUCGCUCAAACGACGCAACAAUCUCUUCUCCUAAGUGAAAGCGAGCUAGAGUGACAGAGAGAGAGGGAGAGAGCGGGCGGGCCCACCCGCCACCCGCUUACAGUCGUGGCUGUGCUUAUCGGCACGCUGUUAUCAGUGCGCGUGGAAAAUUCCUAUAAAAAUAUAACAGAGUGUAGACUGAGAUAAUGUUUUAAAAAUUGGCAUUGGCUUCUACUUUUCUCUCAGUCCGCCACAGUUACAAACACAAAGACACACUCACACACACGCAAUUAACUUCCAUGCACGUAGAGAUAUACCUACAUACAUA